UUAUGGCCAUAUCAAAUUGAAACACCGGUCCUCAUACAAUCACCAAAGUUAAACAAUGUUGAUCCUGGUCAGUAUGAAGAUGGGUGACCACUUAGGAAUAGUAGGUGCUGUAAUC